rnacentral:rRNA from 1 species
UGUGUGAUGAAGGCCCUAGGGUCGUAAAGCUCUUUCGCCAGGGAUGAUAAUGACAGUACCUGGUAAAGAAGUCCCGGCUAACUCCGUGCCAGCAGCCGCGGUAAUACGGAGGGGACUAGCGUUGUUCGGAAUUACUGGGCGUAAAGCGCACGUAGGCGGACUGGAAAGUUGGGGGUGAAAUCCCGGGGCUCAACCCCGGAACUGCCUCCAAAACUCCCAGUCUAGAGUUCGAGAGAGGUGAGUGGAAUUCCGAGUGUAGAGGUGAAAUUCGUAGAUAUUCGGAGGAACACCAGUGGCGAAGGCGGCUCACUGGCUCGAUACUGACGCUGAGGUGCGAAAGCGUGGGGAGCAAACAGGAUU